CCUACGGGAGGCAGCAGUGAGGAAUAUUGGUCAAUGGACGGAAGUCUGAACCAGCCAUGCCGCGUGCAGGAAGACGGCCCUAUGAGUUGUAAACUGCUUUUGUUCAAGGGUAAACCUGAAUACGUGUAUUCAGCUGACUGUACUGUACGAAUAAGGAUCGGCUAACUCCGUGCCAGCAGCCGCGGUAAUACGGAGGAUCCAAGCGUUAUCCGGAUUUAUUGGGUUUAAAGGGUGCGUAGGCGGAUUGAUAAGUUAGAGGUGAAAUGUCCGGGCUUAACUCGGGAACUGCCUCUAAUACUGUUGAUCUAGAGAGUAGAUGCGGUAGGCGGAAUGUAUGGUGUAGCGGUGAAAUGCUUAGAGAUCAUACAGAACACCGAUUGCGAAGGCAGCUUACCAAUCUAUAUCUGACGUUGAGGCACGAGAGCGUGGGGAGCGAACAGGAUUAGAUACCCGUGUAGUC
rnacentral:rRNA from 1 species